UAUCGGUCCCCUCGCGACGCUAGAUCGUGAACCCCGCCAGGCCCGGAAGGGAGCAACGGUAACGGUCGAUGCGGGCGCCGGGGUGUGGCUGGUACGG
rnacentral:SRP_RNA from 1 species